AGAAUCAACGCUGGCGGCGUGCCUAACACAUGCAAGUCGAACGAGAAAGUGGGGCAAUCCAUGAGUAAAGUGGCGACCGGGUGAGUAACACGUGACUAACCUACCCUCGAGUGGGGAAUAACAUCGGGAAACCGAUGCUAAUACCGCAUAACAUCGCAAGAUCAAAGCCGAAAGGCGCUUGAGGAGGGGGUCGCGGCUGAUUAGCUAGUUGGUAGGGUAAUGGCCUACCAAGGCUUAGAUCGGUAGCCGGCCUGAGAGGGCGCACGGCCACACUGGAACUGAAACACGGUCCAGACUCCUACGGGAGGCAGCAGUGGGGAAUUUUGCGCAAUGGGGGAAACCCUGACGCAGCAACGCCGCGUGGAGGAUGAAGUCCCUUGGGACGUAAACUCCUUUCGACCGGGACGAUACUGACGGUACCGGAUGAAGAGCACCGGCUAACUCUGCGCCAGCAGCCGC
rnacentral:rRNA from 1 species